rnacentral:lncRNA from 1 species
AGUUUAUCCAUUCCCGUUUUGGUUUCGCAGCUGUCAUCCGGUCCCAACGCCAGAAUAGGAGAAAAACCUGCAGGCUAAGAGAGAAGGGAGGGCUGGGCCUGAGGUUCAGUCUUGGUCAUCUCCGACUGGCGGCGCUAGGAUUUCCCCCUUCCUGUGUCUUGAUGGGUUCCUCCAACACUCACUUUGUAUCGAUAAACGACCCUGCAGUUCUUCACGACCUGCAUUGCGCUGGCAGUCCUGAGUGAAGAACUCUCCUCUCAUCCCAGAGAUGGGAAACCUGGAUCUGAGACUGCCAGCUAGCUGCGGCCUCCUAGUCUGUAAAGCGAAGGGAGACCAGGACGCUCCCAAGGACCCGGCUUAUCGCCCCUCCCUUUCCUUCCCGGGGACCCAGAACAGACCACAAGACGGAGGGUGGCCGCUGGAGGUCGCCGUGGCCCCGCGAUACCACCAACCGACAGAAAUGGAGAACAGUUGAUUCAGAUUCAGCUGAUAUUCUCAGGUCUGGAGCGGGCCUGAGCGCUUUAAUUAGCCCGGGGCUAAUGUCCUCACCCAUCUUUGUUUAUAGAACGUUGAAACUCCAGUACUGUUGCACCAAGAAGUUUCCGGUCCCGGUACAGAUCAGUGAGGAAGAGGCUAUUGACAAGUGUGGAUUUGCCCAGGCCAGACUCUCCUGAGAGGAGAGAGGACAGAGGCACCAAAUCAGAAGGGACCCUUCUCUGGGCUGUCUGAUAGUCUGCAGAGACACAGCUGCUUCCGUGCUCUAGGAGAGAGGGACUCCUUGGAGAUCUGAUCUCACUAGUAGUCGUAAUUCUUUGGAUGGGCUCAGUUUGUACUGCUUCAUCCUUUGGGUAAGACAAAAUCCUACGGGGAACUCUGACUCCUUGGGGGUUCUGGACCUUGGAUGGUGGGUCAUCUUCUAAGAUUUGUGAUUGUAAGUUAUUCUUCUGGUCUUGAAAACUCAACUGAUGAGUAGAUUUGGCAUCUGGGAUUGAUGAAGCAUGAUGGCCGACCUCGCGCCCUGACUUGCUCUCACUGCCUCUUCGUGCUGCUUCCUCUCUGGGUGGACUAACUUUCCAUUGUCUGCUUGAAGCAUGGGAAGCCAGUGUCUGAGUCUUCUGGCUCUUUAGAUGGGGAGAGGAAUGGCGGGAUGAUUCUGUUCUUGGUCCAGUCUCGGGUCCCCGAGGAGUGGGUACUGCAUAGUGUCCAGGUCCUGACUGGAGGGAGACAGAUCGAGGGUAGUCUGAUGCUGAAUGGGGAGUGGUGGGAUGUGCAGCUUCUGAUCUUCGGUGGGAAGGGUUCAGGGAGACUGCAGCACUUCGAUGGCUUGAGGCAAGAACGUACCCAUGUCCCUGCUGAGGGGAUGUGUUAGUAGUAACCUCAGACCCUCUCUGUGCUGAAACCGCUACCUUGGCCCCAGGUUUAUUUGUCUUGACCAUCUGAUAGAUUGUGCCCUUCUGAGUAGAUCCCGUAUUUUACUGGCUGGCUUGUAUUCAGGAUCCUAAUGAUGCCUGAAUAUUUACCCUGUUUUAAAGCUGCUGUUUCUUGGGCUCCCACAAAAGUGGCUGUUGUUCUAAGAGUGUCUCAAAUAAUCCCCUUAGCUACCUCUCUGUCUGGUGAUGUCAUAAAGGAAGGAGCUUCCUUCCUAUUAAACAUCCUAGUGUACAGCCACAAUUCUUCACAGAAUCCCAAAGAAGUACCUGAAAGGAAUCUGUGGAUUUGUCUUUGGAGUUAUAUCACCAAGCCUUUGGCAAGUUUUUAACAAAACUGGGAUUUCCUUGUACAUAGAGAAGGCUCCAGACCCUCCUUUACUCUCCCGAGAUUCUAGAAAUUCUCAGGACUCAUCCAGAGAAGGAAUCAGCCAGAAGAUCCUAUGAAGACAAGAUCAAACCAAACACGCUGUGUUCGCCCCAGUUUUAAUAAGAAAUCUGACUGAAAACAAAUGGUUGAAUGUGCUGCUAACAGAGAGGGCCAAACGAUGAUGUCUAUUGUGGCAGCUGAACAAAGUGAGACUUACAGAACUGGAACUGCUGCCCUGACAGCAACUGAAGCAGAAAGAGAAGAAAGGAGCUUACAACCAGGACACUCAAACUCAGGCCAGGAGUCCGUCUAUGAUCCAAUUCCAAUCAGUCUGACAAGUCACUCUGAUCCAGCACGAUUAUCCUAUGCACAUGUUUUUUAAAGAACAAAAAAGGAAGUUUCGAGUUGGUAUGUGUGUUUUUUAAAGACACAAACCACAUCCUCUUUCUAUUCAAUUAAAUUCAAGGGAAAGGAAUUUUGGUCUUUAUAAUCAAGGGCGAUUAUAACCAACAGUGUGUCAUGGAAAUGCAAAAUGACUACAGAGCAAUUGACAGCAGCAUCUUCUGUAUUCUCUCCAUAUUAAACCUGUUCUUUUUUUUUUUUUGAGACGGAGUCUUGCUCUUAUCCCCCAGGUGGAGUGCAAUGGCGCGACCUCGGCUCACUGCAACCUCUGCCUUCCGGGUUUAAGCGAUUGUCCUGCCUCAGCCUCCUGAGUAGCUGGGAUUACAGGUGCCUGCCACCAUGCCCGGCUAAUUUUUGUAUUUUUAGUAGAGACGGGGUUUCACCAUGUUGGCCAGGCUGGUCUCGAACUCCUGACCUCAGGUGAUCUGCCCGCCUCGGCCUCCCAAAGUGCUGGGAUUACAAGUAUGAGCCACCGUGCCUGGCCUAAAACUGUUCUUAUGCUGACUCUAUCACUUAUUGAAUCAAAGUUGGCAUUAAUUUCACUUUAUAGUUUAAUUAACUAUAAACACUAACAUUUUAAAAAUUAAGCAACUUUGUCUAAAUUGGAGUCUUUGUCAUUAAUGUGUAUUUAGACACUGGUAAAUGUUUUUAAGUCUGCUUCUGUUGUCUAUAAACAUGAC